GUCGUGAGAUGUUGGGUUAAGUCCCGCAACGAGCGCAACCCCUGUUCUUAGUUGCCAGCGCGUAAUGGCGGGGACUCUAGGAAGACUGCCGGUGCCAAACCGGAGGAAGGUGGGGACGACGUCAAGUCAUCAUGGUCCUUACGUCUAGGGCUACACACGUGCUACAAUGGGCGGGACAGAGGGGGCCGAGGCAGCAAUGCCAAGGCAAUCCCAAAACCCGUCCUCAGUUCGGAUUGUCGUCUGCAACUCGACGGCAUGAAGCUGGAAUCGCUAGUAAUCGUGGAUCAGCAUCGCCACGGUGAAUACGUUCCCGGGCCUUGUACACACCGCCCGUCACGCCAUGGAAGUGGUGAGCGCCCGAAGUCCGUGUCGGAACCCGCAAGGGGCCAAGCGGCCGAAGGCGAGCAUCAUGACUGGGGCGAAGUCGUAACAAGGUAGCCGUAGGGGAACCUGCGGCUGGAUCACCUCCUUAACGGAGCUGCGAGUAAGGCAGAACAAGCCUGGGCAACCAGGAGUUACUUUGCCGGAAAGCACUCACGUGUCGCUCGUCUCGUAACAUCCAGAUCUCAACUCUCGAUUUCCAUAUAUAAAUCGAGCCCGACUCAUAAACCGCGCAAGCGGAGUGUGAAUCGAGGCUCGAAAGAAGUAGAAGGGCUUUUAGCUAAGUCCUUAAGCACCAAGCGACAGAGCGCUUAUAUCUCGAAAGUUUUUUGACAAUGGAAGGUAGUAGUGAUCGUGGGAUUUGAGUACUGGGAUUUGAUAAGAUCCUGGUACUGAGAAUCAACACUAGUGACGCAAUUUCAUGCGAAGCUCUGACCUAACGGUUGGGGCUCGAUUUGUCUCAAAGAGCUUUUUCAGCUCCGAGAGUCCAAAGAUUGUAUCACUCGUUAGAUCGUGCGUGUUUCUGUUUGAACAAGUCAUUUGAUCAAGCGAAAGAAAGUAUGUGGGGGAUGCCUAGGUACACAGAGGCGAUGAAGGCCGUGGUAAGCUGCGAUAAGCCAAAGUUGAGCGGCACACACGCUAUGACACUUGGAUUG
rnacentral:sRNA from 1 species